UAAGAGGAGCAGUCAUGAAUCUGCAUAUGUUUUUGAAUGGAUGAUUGCACUAAAAAAUGAUUGGUAUGCACUGCUCUGUACAAAUUAUCUAUAUAUUUGGAAGUUUGGUUUCUGUUUCUGAGAAGUAUACUCUUUGCUGUUGGGAAGUGUAAGUGUAUUGUCUCAUUUUUUCUGGUGUGCAUCUAAUCCUAAUGCGUCGUUCCUUGUUUAUCUCAGUUUAUUUUGUGUAAGUCGACAGUUCAGUUUUGUGCUUUUUAACAGUUCACCCUUGUGUCCAGGUAGCGUCGUGCGACUCGACGGAGCUCCUGAUUUUCGCUACACACACUUCUCCUAAUCUGUGAACCUCACUUCUACUAAUCUGUGAAGCUCUCUUCUCUUAAUUUGUGAAGUUCACUUGCCCAUCGUGAGAAUUCCCGAUUCGGCAGAGAUAGCAGUUAACUUCCACGAUGCAGAGUUCACUUGGUCCACAGAGGGUACAAAAAGUUAAUUUUUUCAGAGGGGGAGUCCGCUUAAUUCUUGGGGCAGAGUUCACUAUUGCUUGUCCAGAGAUUUUUAGUGAGGAACUUAUUUCGUUUGAGUAGUGAGUAAUUUUUUACAACAUUGAGCAAUUUUAUUACAGACAAACACAAGUGAACUUUUAAUGAUGUAUUGUCCUGAGGCUUUUCUCACUACAUAAUCGAGUGCAAAACUGUUGUUGUUUUAGUUUAGAACUGCCCAAACUUCAGAGCUAAACUACAAUAUUUUGGCUUAAGAACUACUGCUAGUUCAUAGCUGAACAUUUGCUUGUUCCCUCGACAGCAUGCUUGGCCUCCCUCAUGACCAUUCAGGAUCUCCGCCGCCACCUGAACUAAGGAACACUACUUGACCGAGCCUACUAUGCUAUAUCUAAGAGGUGGCAUGAUGAUCCGGUAAUACUCCACGGGGAUUUCAACGCUUAAACUUAAGUACCCACAAGCAGCAUUGCAACGAGCUGGGAGUUCUUGCGGCUGGCUCCUGUGGUUGUCACUGCAAGUCAUGCUCUUCAUUGCAUGAAGCAGCCGAGCACAAAUGCACAACAGGAAUAAAGAAAUGUAGCUACACUGGACUUCCUUGUCGGUGCCUUCAUAUGCAUCUCUUCCGCUUGACACAGCGACGCCACGAGUGACAAGGCUGCCACCCCACACUGCUGCAUCUGCUCCGCGAGUAACGCUGCUCUUUGAAUCCCUCAUGUGUUGUCUUGUGAGUUUUCAAAUUUUAUUGCUUCUGGUAUGAUACACAACGCUGGUAUUAUGUCAUGUUUCUCUUACAGAAAUUAGGAAUGAGUAAUAAUGUUCAGUAAUAUUUUGACUGUGUAGUGGUUUCUAAUUAGCCUCACCAGUACAAAUAUUUGAUGCAUGGGUGAUAGCAAAAAAUAGAAAUCCCAUGAAAAAGGUGACUUUUUUAUUAGAAAGGAAUCCAUGGAAGUUCACUCUGUUU